UGACUGACAUGUCACAUGGAUAAAAAACAACAAAUUCGUAAAUAAUGAAACAGAAAACUGAAUUAAAUUAUAAUUAUAUUUAGCACACAACAUAAAUAAACCAAUUAAUAUGUGUAAAUUUAAAUAAAACGUUUGGAAGUUUUGAAUACGGUAGAGUGGGUCCAGUGGGUCUUACUCCACCCUCUUACCCAUAGUCAGAAAUGGAAACAGCUUCAAUGUUAGGUCUGCUGUUUGUUUGUUGGCUGCUAUCGAACUGCGUAAUCUGGUUUUGUUUAACUUGUCUGGAGGACCAGUGUCAAGAGAACUACUAUCCAAAAGAGAAUUCUCAGUGUGGUUAUGUCGUGUAAAUAAAUUGAGUUGUAUACCAAUGU